CGCCCUAUCUCCAAGACAACGUUCUGCUCCAUCCGUUGGUAAGUAGCGACCAUGUCAUCUCUUCCCCUUUCAAUCCCUAUAGUACUUUUCCCAUGGUGUUUUUCGAUGGUGAUGAAACUCAGGCGCCCAUGACCACCGUGUUUCUUUUCCUUUUAUUCCUUGGCCGUAGUUUUCAUGAAUCGCAAUGGUUUUCAUUAGCUGUAAGCAUGUAACUGAUAGAGUAAGGCAUGGCUGUUUGCUUUGAUCAAAUCCAACCCCAUUAUCAAAUGAAAUGCUAGGAGAAAAUAAGUUGGUAGCACUUCUCUUUUUCCAAAAGAGCUGGCAUGCUGGGCAGCAGUGCUCUUUUGGUUUUGCUUAGCUGCAGGAUAAAAUGAUCACCCAGUUAGUCACGGGCUCAUGGCUGGGUUAAAUGUAUUCAGAAGAAGAAGUCUCUGACCGCCACACACCUGUCGUCGACCAGCACAUCAGAUUUUAGAAGAAGAGAUUGGUGGUGUUAAAGGACAUUUUGGACCAAUCAAUGAAUUAGCAUUUAAUCCUGAUGGGAGGAGGUCUUGAAAGUAGCAUAUACAUCAAAUGUUUGUGGACAUCAUGCAUGGAUGAAAAUCUGGGAACAGUUAGUUUGUUGGCUAUGUCUUGUCAUAGCUGGGUGCUCGUGAUUCAAAAGAUUUAAAGGUGAC